AAGAAAGCUUCAAACAACACAACACCCUCAAUCCUAAACAGAAACAAGCUUUGGCCAAGCAGUUAGGUCUUCAGCCUCGACAAGUCGAAGUGUGGUUCCAGAACCGGAGAGCCAGAACAAAGCUGAAGCAGACAGAGGUGGACUGCAAGUAG